rnacentral:rRNA from 1 species
UUAAGCGACUAAGCGUACACGGUGGAUGCCUAGGCAGUCAGAGGCGAUGAAGGGCGUGCUAAUCUGCGAAAAGCGUCGGUAAGGUGAUAUGAACCGUUACAACCGACGAUACCCGAAUGGGGAAACCCAGUGCAAUUCGUUGCACUAUUGCAUGGUGAAUACAUAGCCAUGCAAGGCGAACCGGGGGAACUGAAACAUCUAAGUACCCCGAGGAAAAGAAAUCAACCGAGAUUCCCCCAGUAGCGGCGAGCGAACGGGGAGGAGCCCAGAACCUGAAUCAGCGUAUGUGUUAGUGGAAGCGUCUGGAAAGUCGCACGGUACAGGGUGAUAGUCCCGUACACAAAAAUGCAUAUGUUGUGAGUUCGAUGAGUAGGGCGGGACACGUGACAUCCUGUCUGAAUAUGGGGGGACCAUCCUCCAAGGCUAAAUACUCCUGACUGACCGAUAGUGAACCAGUACCGUGAGGGAAAGGCGAAAAGAACCCCGGCGAGGGGAGUGAAAUAGAACCUGAAACCGUGUACGUACAAGCAGUGGGAGCACCUUCGUGGUGUGACUGCGUACCUUUUGUAUAAUGGGUCAGCGACUUAUAUUUUGUAGCAAGGUUAACCGAAUAGGGGAGCCGUAGGGAAACCGAGUCUUAACUGGGCGAAUAGUUGCAAGGUAUAGACCCGAAACCCGGUGAUCUAGCCAUGGGCAGGUUGAAGGUUGGGUAACACUAACUGGAGGACCGAACCGACUAAUGUUGAAAAAUUAGCGGAUGACUUGUGGCUGGGGGUGAAAGGCCAAUCAAACCGGGAGAUAGCUGGUUCUCCCCGAAAGCUAUUUAGGUAGCGCCUCGUGAACUCAUCUUCGGGGGUAGAGCACUGUUUCGGCUAGGGGGUCAUCCCGACUUACCAAACCGAUGCAAACUCCGAAUACCGAAGAAUGUUAUCACGGGAGACACACGGCGGGUGCUAACGUCCGUCGUGAAGAGGGAAACAACCCAGACCGCCAGCUAAGGUCCCAAAGUCAUGGUUAAGUGGGAAACGAUGUGGGAAGGCAUAGACAGCCAGGAUGUUGGCUUAGAAGCAGCCAUCAUUUAAAGAAAGCGUAAUAGCUCACUGGUCGAGUCGGCCUGCGCGGAAGAUGUAACGGGGCUAAACCAUGCACCGAAGCUGCGGCAGCGACACUUAGGUGUUGUUGGGUAGGGGAGCGUUCUGUAAGCCGUUGAAGGUGACCUGUGAGGGUUGCUGGAGGUAUCAGAAGUGCGAAUGCUGACAUAAGUAACGAUAAUGCGGGUGAAAAACCCGCACGCCGGAAGACCAAGGGUUCCUGUCCAACGUUAAUCGGGGCAGGGUGAGUCGACCCCUAAGGCGAGGCUGAAAAGCGUAGUCGAUGGGAAACAGGUUAAUAUUCCUGUACUUGGUGUUACUGCGAAGGGGGGACGGAGAAGGCUAGGCUAGCCGGGCGACGGUUGUCCCGGUUUAAGCAUGUAGGCGGAGUGACUUGGUAAAUCCGGUUGCUUAUCAACGCUGAGGUGUGAUGACGAGUCACUACGGUGAUGAAGUAGUUGAUGCCAAGCUUCCAGGAAAAGCCUCUAAGCAUCAGGUAACAUUAAAUCGUACCCCAAACCGACACAGGUGGUCAGGUAGAGAAUACUCAGGCGCUUGAGAGAACUCGGGUGAAGGAACUAGGCAAAAUGGUGCCGUAACUUCGGGAGAAGGCACGCUGGCAUUAGGUAAAGAGACUUGCUCUCGGCGCCGAAGCCAGUCGCAGAUACCAGCUGGCUGCAACUGUUUAAUAAAAACACAGCACUGUGCAAACACGAAAGUGGACGUAUACGGUGUGACGCCUGCCCGGUGCUGGAAGGUUAAUUGAUGGGGUCAGCCGCAAGGCGAAGCUCUUGAUCGAAGCCCCAGUAAACGGCGGCCGUAACUAUAACGGUCCUAAGGUAGCGAAAUUCCUUGUCGGGUAAGUUCCGACCUGCACGAAUGGCGUAAUGAUGGCCAGGCUGUCUCCACCCGAGACUCAGUGAAAUUGAACUCGCUGUGAAGAUGCAGUGUACCCGCGGCAAGACGGAAAGACCCCGUGAACCUUUACUAUAGCUUGACACUGAACAUUGAGCCUUGAUGUGUAGGAUAGGUGGGAGGCAUUGAAGUGUGGACGCCAGUCUGCAUGGAGCCAACCUUGAAAUACCACCCUUUAAUGUUUGAUGUUCUAACUCGGCCCCAUAAUCUGGGGUGAGGACAGUGUCUGGUGGGUAGUUUGACUGGGGCGGUCUCCUCCCAAAGAGUAACGGAGGAGCACGAAGGUUAGCUAAUCACGGUCGGACAUCGUGAGGUUAGUGCAAAGGCAUAAGCUAGCUUGACUGCGAGAGUGACGGCUCGAGCAGGUACGAAAGUAGGUCUUAGUGAUCCGGUGGUUCUGAAUGGAAGGGCCAUCGCUCAACGGAUAAAAGGUACUCCGGGGAUAACAGGCUGAUACCGCCCAAGAGUUCAUAUCGACGGCGGUGUUUGGCACCUCGAUGUCGGCUCAUCACAUCCUGGGGCUGAAGUAGGUCCCAAGGGUAUGGCUGUUCGCCAUUUAAAGUGGUACGCGAGCUGGGUUUAGAACGUCGUGAGACAGUUCGGUCCCUAUCUGCCGUGGGCGUUGGAAGAUUGAGAGGGGCUGCUCCUAGUACGAGAGGACCGGAGUGGACGAAUCACUGGUGUUCGGGUUGUCAUGCCAAUGGCAUUGCCCGGUAGCUAAAUUCGGAAGAGAUAACCGCUGAAAGCAUCUAAGCGGGAAACUUGCCUCGAGAUGAGUCUUCCCUGGGGCUUUAAGCCCCCUGAAGGAACGUUAAAGACUAUGACGUUGAUAGGCUGGGUGUGUAAGUGCAGCGAUGCAUUGAGCUAACCAGUACUAAUGAUCCGUGAGGCUUAACCUU